GCCAGGCAUGGUGGUGAGUACCUAUAGUCCCUGCUACGGGGAGGCUGAGGCAGGAAGAUCAUCCGACCAGGAGUUCAAGGACAGCCUGGGCUGUCCAUAGUGAGACCUUGUCUCAA
rnacentral:sRNA from 1 species